UUGAAAACAGAAGUCUAAUAAUUUACAAAAUUGACUUCUCAGUUCCAGGAUGAAAUGUCAACAUUUAGAAAUCAUAGUGUUACCAGAUGGUCCUUGCUCCUGGAGCUCCCAAGAUGGUGGUGGGCCGCUUCCACAAUGGCGGUGGGCCGUUUCCAAGAUGGUGGCAAGCCUCCUGAUCUCUGACCUGGGGUUCUUGGCCUCACGGAUUCCAAGGAAUGGAAUCUUGGUCCAUGCAGUGAGUGUUAUAGCUCUAUUAGAAGCUGUGGGUCACAGAAGAGAACCGUGGAACCCAGUGACUGUGUUCAGCUCAAUUAGGACGAACCUGCGCACUUAGCAGUGCAGGAACAAUGGAAAGCUUUUAGCUCAAUCAGGACCAGCAAUGUGUGCCUCGCUGGAUCAGGAGCACAGCGGACACCCUGCUGGAUCCAGAGGGAUGGAAGUCAGUGGCAGGUCUGCGAUGGCGGCAGACAGCAGUGGUGGACGGUGAACGAAAGCUCAGUUCAAGCCGUAACAAACAGGGACCAGAAGAGUGGGCAGUUGCAAGAUUUAAUAGAGUGAAAACAGAGCUCCCAUACAAAGGGAGGGGACCCAAAGAGGGUAGCUGUUGCUGGCUCCAAUGCCUGGGUUUAUAUCCCAAUCAUUGUCCCUCCCACUGUGCUUUCAGGCAAUAGAUGAUUGGCUAUUUCUUUACCUCCUGUUUUUGUCUAAUUAGCAUUUUAGUGAGCUCUCUUUACUACCUGAUUGGUCGAGUGUGAGCUAAGUUGCAAGCCCC
rnacentral:lncRNA from 1 species